rnacentral:lncRNA from 1 species
CACCUCGGGGCACCUGCGCGCCGAGUUGCCCACCCACGCGUACGGCAGCGUGGACCCGACCACCGACGCGAAGGUGAAGUAGUGGAAGCCGCACACCUGCCCGCAGAAGUCGUCCACGGCGACGUCCGGGGACGUGAGCACCAGGUACACGCCGCCGCUGGCGUCCACGGGCAGGGGCCGGGUGCGCGCCGUCACGGCGUCGCGGACCACUGCCUGGAUGUCCAUGCGCGACAGCCGCGCGCCGCGGGACAUGCGCGCGUCCGACUUCUCCG